rnacentral:rRNA from 1 species
ACCAGACUCCUACGGGAGGCAGCAGUGGGGGAUAUUGCACAAUGGGGGGAACCCUGAUGCAGCGACGCCGCGUGGGUGAAGAAGCGCCUCGGCGCGUAAAGCCCUGUCAGCAGGGAAGAAAAUGACGGUACCUGAAGAAGAAGCCCCGGCUAACUACGUGCCAGCAGCCGCGGUAAUACGUAGGGGGCAAGCGUUAUCCGGAUUUACUGGGUGUAAAGGGGGCGCAGACGGCGAUGCAAGCCAGGAGUGAAAGCCCGGGGCCCAACCCCGGGACUGCUCUUGGAACUGCGUGGCUGGAGUGCAGGAGGGGCAGGCGGAAUUCCUGGUGUAGCGGUGAAAUGCGUAGAUAUCAGGAGGAACACCGGUGGCGAAGGCGGCCUGCUGGACUGCAACUGACGUUGAGGCCCGAAAGCGUGGGGAGCAAACAGGAUUAGAUACCCCCGUAAUA